GAGAAUUGAAAGCAGUAGCUUUCAAUCAAAUUGCUCUCUCUCUCUCUCUCUCUCUCUCUCUCUCUCUCUCUCUCUCUCUCUCUUUCUUAGGAUUUUAAAAGAAUGCUGGCCUGGGCAGCCAAGGCUCUCUCCUAAACUCUUCCACUGUUUUUCUUUGCUCUCUGAUGUUUUGAGAUGAAACCUGUUUUCUGAGAGUGUUUUCAUCUCUCCUUCUGCCCCUUCCUGGCCUUAGAGAAUUCCGAGACCUAUGGGCCCAGGACAAGUGCCAGCAAGCCUGUGCGUUCAUCUGCCAGGCUCCUGCAUGCCUGCUCUGCCAUGCUUUCUACAGUCAACUCAGAGCCCCAUGAGAACAUUCUAACAUGGGCACUGCAUGAGAGAGCUACAUCAGAAACAGCUGCCUUUCUGUGCUUUCCAGUCUGGUGUCAAUCAGCCCUGGUAAGCCAUUAUCUGAGGAACUUCUCUAUGUCCACCACAACCCUUGGGUCACCAAGGAUGUAUCCAGGCUCAGAUAGGAUGUCUGUUGUCGCAACCCACCGGUUGAGAACCUGUGAGAUAGUACAUGAUUUUUUUUCUCAUGGCCGUGACCACAUACCUGGCAAGAAGCAAAUGUGAGUGAUGAGAGAGCAGGCCUGGAUUGCCAGCCGAGAAGUAAUGAGUCACAAACAAGAGAGAGCAGCACAAAUAUGCAUAAACACCUGCCACAACAGAACCAACCUGAGGCAGUCGCUGUCCCUGUAUUCAUGAAUAAUGUGUGUGCAGGAAUUCACCAGCUGCCUGAGUCCCUAACACCCACGUCCCUGGCUUUCCUACUGUGUAGAAGUUCUGUUGCUGCCCGCCUCCCUCUGGAGACGCACAGAUAAAACUCACAGAGCUGAAAUGAUACUAUCAAAAGCAUGCUGCACGAGAUAAACAAGACUAGUGUACCUAUGUGAAUUCAUAAUCGCUUUUCAUU
ensembl:lncRNA